rnacentral:rRNA from 1 species
UACGGAAGGUGCAAGCGUUAAUCGGAAUCACUGGGCGUAAAGCGCGCGUAGGCGGUUUGGUAAGUCAGAUGUGAAAGCCCCGGGCUCAACCUGGGAACUGCAUUUGAUACUGCCUCACUGGAGUGUAGUAGAGGGAAGCGGAAUUCCACAUGUAGCGGUGAAAUGCGUAGAGAUGUGGAGGAACACCAAUGGCGAAGGCAGCUUCCUGGACUAACACUGACGCUGAGGUGCGAAAGCGUGGGGAGCAAAC